CUGAGCUACCAGGGAAACCCUGGAGAUACCCUUUGUUCUUAACCUGUAGGGUUAUUUACAGAUUCACAUAGGAUUAGCACAGAUUUCAGUCAGACAAUCUGGGCUUGACUGACUUUUGAUAUAAUUUGGAACAUGUUAAUUAACUUCCCUGAACCUAUGUUUCUUCACCUGUGAGAUGGAAAUCAUCAUAGAACCUCAUCAUGGGAAUCCAAUAGGGUGAUGCAUGUGGAACAUUAGCACAUAUCUAGCACAUAGUAAAUGUUCAAUAAAUGUUAGCUAUGAUGAUUUGUUGCUCAUUCUUAAGUACUUAAUGUUAAAAUAGGAGAGGACUUUUUCCUGCUUGGGUUCACACUUAAUAUCAGGGCCUUAUUCUAACAAAGCUGACUUGACGGUAAUUAGGUGGUUGAGGAAAGGCUUGCAACUCAUCCUCAACACUUGGCAUUGCCUUCCCCUCGAGGGAACGCUGGCAUCCUGCUCCCAUCAGAGCCUCGACAAUCGCACAGUCUACACACACUUGGACAUCAGCAUCACAAAUGGUCAUGUAAGUAAGCAGAGAAAACAGCUGCAGACUGUAGAAGCUCAGAUGUGUUUAGGUGAUGAAAUCUUCCCCAUAGGCCUUGUGAGGAAGCAUUUCAUCUUGAGUAUCAAGAGCUGACUUGGGUGUGGGGAUCUUCCCAAACCAGAGAUGGAACACACAUGUACUGCACUGGCAAAUGGAUUCUUUUCCACUGAGCCACCAGGAAAGCCCACUCAAAUAGUAUUCUUCCCUUUUUUUUUGCCAUAUCCAUGCUGUACUGCUACCAUUAUUUAAUAAUAGUUUUCUUUAGAUGUUUAAUUAUGUGAUAUUUAUUUUUGUUAACUUUAAUUAUUUGUUAUUUAUUUACUUUAAAAGAAAAUUUGUCUCUGGCUUCAGCAGAACAUUAAUAAAAUUAGGCAUAGUAAAGAGAAUGUUCCCAGAGAAAGGCAUGUAAUGUAAAACAAUAUUUUUUUAAAACAGAGAUUUCAGCUUCAUUUGUAAGAAUUUUUAGUUAAAACAAAAAAAUUUUAAAUUUCAUUCCUUCUCUCUAUUGGCAUUUCCUCUGUUACUGUGUUCUAUUUUCCCAUGGUAUCUAUCAUCUUUUAAUAUACUAUGUUAUUUGUUUGGGUUUUAAAAUUUUCAUCUGUUUCUCCCACUAGAAUGCUAGCUAUGAAAUUGCAGUGAUAUUUGUUAGUUUAUUUGUGAACAGCACCUGACCCAUAUUAUAUGCUCAAUAAAUAUUUGUUGAAUGAA